rnacentral:rRNA from 1 species
UGCGUAGGUGGUCUUGUAAGUCAGAAGUGAAAGGCUAUGGCUCAACCAUAGUAAGCUUUUGAAACUGCAGGACUUGAGUGCAGGAGAGGAAAGUGGAAUUCCUAGUGUAGCGGCGAAAUGCGUAGAUAUUAGGAGGAACACCAGUGGCGAAGGCGACUUUCUGGACUGUAACUGACACUGAGGCACGAAAGCGUGGGGAGCGAACA